rnacentral:rRNA from 1 species
UAUCCGGAUUUAUUGGGUUUAAAGGGAGCGUAGGCGGGUGCUUAAGUCAGUUGUGAAAGUUUGCGGCUCAACCGUAAAAUUGCAGUUGAUACUGGGUACCUUGAGUGCAGCAUAGGUAGGCGGAAUUCGUGGUGUAGCGGUGAAAUGCUUAGAUAUCACGAAGAACUCCGAUUGCGAAGGCAGCUUACUGGACUGUAACUGACGCUGAUGCUCGAAAGUGUGGGUAUCAAACAGGAUUAGAUACCCUGGUAGUCCACACAGUAAACGAUGAAUACUCGCUGUUGGCGAUACACAGUCAGCGGCCAAGCGAAAGCAUUAAGUAUUCCACCUGGGGAGUACGCCGGCAACGGUGAAACUCAAAGGAAUUGACGGGGGCCCGCACAAGCGAGAACAUGUGGUUUAAUUCGAUGAUACGCCAAGAACCUUACCCGGGCUUAAAUUGCAGCGGAAUGUUGUGGAAACAUUACAGCCUUCGG